CCCAGUUGCCUUGGUAACCGUGUACGCGGGCUCGGCGCCGCGUUCUCGGAAAUCCUCGCGAGCAGUACAUUCUCCGGCUGCUGCGGGUCUCUCAGGGCCAGCGAAGGUCAGGGGUACCCGAAGGCGCUUCUAACCUAACGGCUGGGUACCCGCGCGCAGCCAGGCCCUUUGUUCCUCAGAGGGUGCGAGGUGGCACAGCCCCGCAGCGCCCGAUCUGCCCACGCAGGGCGGAUGAACGGAAACCCACCCUGGCCUAGCUUGGGGACACCAAUGCUUCUGCUGUUGCCCACGCCGGGAGCGGCCCCCAGCCCCAGCUACGCUGCCCAGUUGUGGAUCACUUGAGACCGCUGCCACCACCACGCCGGGCUGAGUUCCCCGCCAUGCCGAAGACUCAGACCCGCUCCCCUUCCCCUCCUCUGCAUGCCUUUAGCUUCCCACCAAGCUGGGCCUGAGAAACAAGGGACCCGAACCUGGAGAGGCCGGUGUUCCUGGACUGCUCUGCAGUCACAGAUUGUCACGGAGCCCCUGGUUGUCUGAGGACCCCAGGCCUGAACCUUCCUUGAGGAAGACUGAUUUCUUUCAGACUACUUUGCUCAGUUUGAUUUUAAACAGAAGGCUAAUAAUUAUCCAGAAGAGACAGGAUGAGGCUUGGACAAAGGAGGUGGAGGGUAUCAAAAGAUAUUUAGAAGAUAAAGGAAGUCUGGACUUGGUGCUGUGGGUAUACCCUCCCUCAUGGCACACACCAGGUUAUUUUGAAGCAAAUCCUAGACGUCAUCAAACAGUUCAAAUUGCCCAAGUGUCUCCUACACACUUCUUUUUUCUUUUACAGUUUGUUUGAAUCUGGGUCCAAAUAAAGUCCACACAUUGCACCUGGUUGUCAUGUCUCGCUCAUCUUGGGUCCUGCCUCCUCUCUACCCCCUCACCUCCUUUCUCCUUCUUUUCUUUUCUUGCAAUUUAUCAGUUGAAGGCAUUGAGCCAUUUCUGGGCCUUAUUCUUGUGAUGUGAUUUAACAUGUUCCUCCAUGCCCUGCAUGUCCUGUAAACUGGUUCUUAGAUCCAGUGGUUGGUUAGUCUCACGUUCAGUUUUCUGGUAAAAACACAUCAUGAGUGACGGUUUGUUCUCCUGAUUCCAUUGCAUCAGGACGCCUGCUUUUCCCUGUUUUUCUAGUGUUUAGGCUGAGCAUUGGGUUCAGGUGUAGUCAGACUAGGCAACAAUUAUAAAAUUCCCCGUCCGUUUUUCACCUAAUGGUUUAGUUGAUCAUCACUGCCUAGCUCUAUUAUUUCAUUAGGAGUUGCAAAAUUGGGAUGUCCUAAUUCUGUCAUUCUGCAGUAAGAACUUGCCAUCAUCAAUUUGUUUACCAUGAGAUACAGGUCAUACAGGAAAGGCAGGAUAAAUGUGUGGGUUUUUUCUUAUGAUUUACCAGUUUUCAGAAAAAUGAGUUGGUUCUCUAGCAUCUUGAAAAAGUAAUUAGUUGUUUUUAAUAUCAUUAUGAACUUGUACAUUUUAACAUCUUUUGUGUAUUUCAAUCCAUUGCAGUUAUUCUUUUUGAUGUUCAAAUUGUCCCAAUUUUGGUCGGUGGGAGCUUCUUCUGGUUGGUGCCUAAGCUUGCUUUCUUUCUUUUUUUUUGAGACGGAGUUUCGCUCUUGUUGCCCAGGCUGGAGUGCAAUGGCGCGAUCUCGGCUCACCGCAACCUCCGCCUCCCGAGUUCAAGAGAUUCUCCUGCCUCAGCCUCCCGAGUAGCUGGAAUUACAGGCAUGCGCCACCACACCCGGCUAAUUUUGUAUGUUUAGUAGAAACAGGGUUUCUACAUGUUGGUCAGGCUGGUCUAGAACUCCCGACGUCAGGUGAUCCACCCGCCUCGGCCUCCCAAAGUGCUGGGAUUACAGGCGUGAGCCACCAUGCCCGGCUCCGUCUCCUCCUCCUCCUCCUCUUCUUCCAGACAGAGCCAGACUCCAUCUCAAAAAAAAAAAAAAAAAAAAGAAAAAGACGAUUAUCUGACUAUUCGGGUGGCAGGGAGAUUAGAGAGGAGCCUGCUACAACAAUCCAGCAAGAGAGGCUGAGGGGUUGUCAGUGGGAUGGGGAAGGAUGGUUGACAGGGGGAUUAUUGAGGAAAUGGAAUUGACAGGAUGUGGUGACUGGAAGUAAGACGGUAGGGGGAGGGAAGAAUCAAG
rnacentral:lncRNA from 1 species